rnacentral:lncRNA from 1 species
CGAGCUUCUGUUGGACGUUUUGGUGCUUGUGGCAUUCUCUCAGGUUCUGGUUUUGGUGCUUUUAAAUCUUGAAGUGCUUUUUUCUAAAAAUAUAAAUAAAGAAUUUAAUUGACAUGUGGAAUGCCCAAAUAGGCAAGACGUUUCAAACGUAUAUCAUCAGGAUCAGGUGUUGAUUGUGCAUUAGCACAUUCCAAGCUCAUUUGUAAUGCUCUUCUUAAUUCAUCAUCAUCAUUAUUAUCAUCUUGAACAUCAUACAUCAUUUUAGUUGCAGAUAUAUGCUUGCAUUAAUGAUGGAUCUUUUUGGGCAAUAAGUGCUGUUGGUUCAGUACUACUAUAUGGAAUUAAUUCAAGACCCAAUACUUUUAAG